rnacentral:rRNA from 1 species
UACGGAGGGUGCGAGCGUUGUCCGGAAUCACUGGGCGUAAAGGGUGCGUAGGCGGCGCGGUAAGUCGGGUGUGAAAUCUUGGAGCUUAACUCCGAAACUGCAUUCGAUACUGCCGUGCUUGAGGACUGGAGAGGAGACUGGAAUUUACGGUGUAGCGGUGAAAUGCGUAGAUAUCGUAAGGAAGACCAGUGGCGAAGGCGGGUCUCUGGACAGUUCCUGACGCUGAGGCACGAAGGCCAGGGGAGCAAACGGG